GCUCAGAACUCAGGAAUUGACGGGGCCGCACAAGCGGUGGAGCAUGUGGUUUAAUUCGAUGAUACGCGAGGAACCUUACCUGGGCUCAAAUGUAUGUUGACGUAUUCUGAAAGGGAUACUUCUUCGGACAAUAUACAAGGUGCUGCAUGGUUGUCGUCAGCUCGUGCCGUGAGGUGUCGGGUUAAGUCCCAUAACGAGCGCAACCCCUAUCAUUAGUUGCCAUCAGGUCAAGCUGGGGACUCUAAUGAAACUGCCUACGCAAGUAGUGAGGAAGGUGGGGAUGACGUCAAAUCAGCACGGCCCUUACGUCCAGGGCUACACACGUGCUACAAUGGCCGGUACAAAGGGCAGCUACCUGGUGACAGGAUGCUAAUCUCAAAAGCCGGUCGUAGUCCGGAUCGCAGUCUGCAACUCGACUGCGUGAAGUCGGAAUCGCUAGUAAUCGUGAAUCAGAAUGUCACGGUGAAUACGUUCCCGGGCCUU
rnacentral:rRNA from 1 species